rnacentral:rRNA from 1 species
UACAGAGGUGGCAAGCGUUGUUCGGAAUUACUGGGCGUAAAGGGCGCGUAGGCGGCCUACUAAGUCAGACGUGAAAUCCCCCGGCUUAACCUGGGAACUGCGUCUGAUACUGGAAGGCUUGAGGAUGGGAGAGGGAUGUAGAAUUCCAGGUGUAGCGGUGAAAUGCGUAGAUAUCUGGAGGAAUACCGGUGGCGAAGGCGGCAUCCUGGACCAUUUCUGACGCUGAGGCGCGAAAGCUAGGGGAGCAAACGGG